rnacentral:rRNA from 1 species
CGGAGGGUGCGAGCGUUGUCCGGAAUCAUUGGGCGUAAAGGGCGCGUAGGUGGCCCGGUCAGUCUUUGGUGAAAGCGCGGGGCUCAACCCUGCGUCGGCCAGGGAUACUGCCGCGGCUGGAGCACUGUAGAGGCAGGCGGAAUUCCGGGUGUAGCGGUGGAAUGCGUAGAGAUCCGGAAGAACACCGGUGGCGAAGGCGGCCUGCUGGGCAGUAGCCGAAAGGCUUUCAAGCUGACACUGAGGCGCGACAGCGUGGGGAGCAAACAGGAUUAGAUACCCUGGUAGUCCACGCCGUAAACGAUGGGCACUAGGCGCGUUGGGGGAGCGACCCCCCGAGGGCCGGCGCUAACGCAUUAAGUCGCCCCGCCUGGGGAGUACGGCCGCAAGGCUG